UCUAACUGAAUAUCUUCUUGCUUCAAGUUUUGCUUUAAAAGUAUCAUCAUCACUUACAUUGAGCAGUUAGUGAAAAUCACUACAAUUUCUUUCACUUUAGAGGCAAAUAAAUCUUUUUUUUUCCAAACAUGAUAACUUAUUAUCACAUAUGUAGGUGUUCUUGACUUAAUGAACCUUAUGAUGACAUAUGUACAACUUUAAAAAGAUAAAAGCUUCUUGCUUCCAUUUAACGUCAACGUUAUUCAAGAAGAUUUCUCAAAGCUCUUUUGUAACUUACGCGGUGUUGAUUUACAGAACUACACAUACAAACAACUGACAAUUCUAUCCAGAGAUGUGAAAUGAUAACGCUCAUAAUAUGAGGAAAGGGAACAGAAUAUAACAUUCAGAACAGAACAGAACCAUGUCCAGAAAUGAGACUGUGUUUUGAAGAGUACUGUCCCUUAAUUAUUAAGCCAAAUUGUUUCCCUUUAUACCAUCUUAACGCGAGUAUCGAUUUUUGUGGGCAGCGAAGCGUGACCACAGAUUUACCAUACCACAAAUUUACAGUCAAAAUGCUUAUCCGAAACCGAAGAACAAGUAGUUCUAUGUCCUCCAUAAAUUUUACGUAAUUCAAGUCAGUUUAACUUUCAGAAAGCUUCUGAGAUUCAACUUUAUCAAAAAAUGAACUGCUUAAGUACCAAUUUGCCGUAAUCUAUAUUUUAUAACAAAAACGCGUAUGAAAAUGAGCAUGCUUGCUUUGAUCACAUGACCAAAACAAUUCUUCGUCACGUGACCAAAAUAAACUAUAAAUAACCUACGAAAAUAUAGUAUAGUAGGCUACUUCAGCACCAUCCGCGUACAUCUAUAAUCGGUAUUAAAACCAAGUGAUAUUUUUGUAAAUCCCUGAAAUGGGAUUGAAAAUACUGCAUUGCUUUAUAAUACAGAUGCUGUAUAAUAAGCACUUUAAAUUGGAAUUCAAUUAAAUUUUGAUAAAUGCAAGUUGUUGUCAAGCAUUAUCUAUAAGAAAUGAUGGACUGUUUUGAUCAGUGUUGAUUCACUCUAUUUUGAUGAGGAUUUUUAUAUUUCUCAUAAACCGUUCUUGUUUCUAAGGCUCUCAGAUUUUCUACCUAGUGUAUGAAAAGUACAGUACUGCUGUUGGAAGAGGAGCAAACAGUGUGGUAUCUAUGGUCCACCAUCACUUCAAGCAUCAUGGCUAUAGAUAAAAGAAGGUUUCAUUACAUAUGGACAAUUAUAUUGGACAAAAUAAGAAAAGUGUUCUAAUAAGUUCUGGAAUGUGGCUUGUUAUGAUGGGUCUACAUGAUUGACUUGGAGUACAACCUGAUGGAGGCCUGGCUUGCAGAAUUCAGUCCUGAACAUGUUUAGAAUGUCUUCUGCAUGACCUGAUAUAGUAUUCUUGAAGGAUUAUAACUUCAACACAGAGACAGAGAUUAAUAUUUUAGGUAGGGGAUUGGCAUGACAAAUUCUUCAGCCGUAUUACCAUUCCCGAGCUGGAUGCCAGUCGACAGUGGUACCUGUAUAAUGAAAUAGCGCCCCUUUGCAGCAACAGCAAUGUAUGCUCAAAACUAGUAGUGCCAAAGCCAUUAAAAUUGAAAACUCAGUCAUUUAAAACGAAGAAGGAAUGGAAAAAAGUGUAUAACAUUUAAAGUAAUACAGAAAAAGAACUUAGCUCAUUUGGUACUUUCUGAAAUUUUACUUAAUUUGAAAGUGUUUUUGAUUUUUUAAAGGUGUACUGGACCAAAAUUCCAUAUAUAUGAAUAUGAACAAAUGCUGCAUAUAGGUAUGUAAACAAUUGAAUUAACAAGUUUAUGGUGUCAGCAGUAGUAUGCAUUGGUUAAAUAUAGACACACUGUAUGUAUGUAAGGCUGAAUACAGUAUAAAUGUGAAAUUCCUCUAAAACACUGGAAGAUUUUUUCAACGAUUUACUGUUUAGUACUGCAUGACAUAAAAUUAUGAAUGUAGCUCUACAUACACAGUUGAUUUAUACAUUAAGCAAAGUUAAAUAUAUUUAUUGAUGAUUUUCUACAUUUGAAGUAAUUACCUAAAUAUUAAAUAUUUUAGUGAAGAUAUAUUUUAUGCAACUAUGUAAGUUGAAAAAAGCUACCCUCCAGGAAGAAUAUUUUGAAAUGAUACUUUUACUUGAAAAUUUUUGUGAAAAAUGAGGAAAUAGAUGUUAAAAUGAAUUCUUUAUUUUAUAAAAAAUGUUGUUGCCAUGGAAACAGAACUUUAGUAUUAAGUUUAUCUGCUUUCAUACCAGAGUAAUAUGAAUUUUAAUUAUGAUUAUUUAAACAAUUUAAUGUUACAUAAUCAUAACUGAUUCUUUUAAUUAUCAAUUUACACUGUCAUCUUAAGUACAUUUGAAGUUGAAUGACACAUUACAAAUAUUAAAUAUUUAUGGAAUUGCUUUUAGAUACAUUUUGUGUAUUUCUGAGAUGAAUAUAAAUCAGAAAAAUCACAAAUUCUAGUUCUUCUAGACAACUAAUAUACAUUUUAUAAAUUUACAUUUUUUUGUAUCAAAUGUAGGCUAAAAUGUCUGUUAAAUUGACAUUUAAAGCCAUUCUUGUAUUUUGUUGCUAUGGAAACAUGAAUUGUGUCAAUUUUUUUAAUAUAAAAUAGCAUAUUUAUAGCAAGAAGGCAUUAUCAACUGUGCUAAU